GCUUGCCUCCACCAGUGUAUGAAUGUGAGAGUGAAUGAAUAGUGGCAUUGUAAAGCGCUUUUUGGUUAGUACUUGGAUGGGAGACUGCCUGGGAAUACCUGGUGCUGUAAGCC
ensembl:rRNA 5S_rRNA 5S ribosomal RNA